rnacentral:rRNA from 1 species
GACGAAGGGGGCUAGCGUUGUUCGGAAUUACUGGGCGUAAAGCGCGUGUAGGCGGUUGUUCAAGUCGGGGGUGAAAGCCUUGAGCUCAACUCAAGAAAUGCACUCGAUACUGGAUGACUUGAGGACCGGAGAGGAUAGUGGAAUUCCCAGUGUAGUGGUGAAAUACGUAGAGAUUGGGAAGAACACCAGUGGCGAAGGCGGCUAUCUGGACGGUUUCUGACGCUAAGACGCGAAAGCGUGGGGAGCAAACAGG